rnacentral:rRNA from 1 species
CCUACGGGUGGCAGCAGUGAGGAAUAUUGGUCAAUGGGCGGGAGCCUGAACCAGCCAUGCCGCGUGAAGGCGAGUGCCCUACGGGCGUUAAACUUCUUUUGUGCGGGAGCAAUAAGGGCCACGUGUGGCCCGAUGAGAGUACCGCUAGAAUAAGCAUCGGAUAACUCCGUGCCAGCAGCCGCGGUAAUACGGGGGAUGCGAGCGUUAUCCGGAUUUAUUGGGGUUAAAGGGUGCGUAGGCGGCGCUUCAGGUCAGCGGUGAAAUACCGGGGCUCAACCCCCGGGCUGCCGUUGAAACCGGGGCGCUAGAAUACCGAUGAGGUCGGAGGAAUGCGUGGUGUAGCGGUGAAAUGCAUAGAUAUCACACAGAACACCGAUUGCGAAGGCAUCCGACGAAACGGAGAUUGACGCUGAUGCACGAAAGCGUGGGUAUCGAACAGGAUUAGAUACCCUGGUAGUC